ACCAGACUCCUACGGGAGGCAGCAGUAGGGAAUUUUGCGCAAUGGGGGAAACCCUGACGCAGCAACGCCGCGUGAUUGAUGAAGCCCUUCGGGGUGUAAAGAUCUGUCAGUGGGGACGAAACUUGACGGUACCCACAGAGGAAGCAUCGGCUAACUCCGUGCCAGCAGCCGCGGUAAUACGGGGGAUGCAAGCGUUGUCCGGAAUCAUUGGGCGUAAAGAGUUCGUAGGUGGCACGUUAAGUCUGGUGUUAAAUGCAGAGGCUCAACCUCUGUUCGGCACUGGAUACUGGCGAGCUUGAAUGCGGUAGAGGUAAAGGGAAUUCCUGGUGUAGCGGUGAAAUGCGUAGAGAUCGGGAGGAACACCAGUGGCGAAGGCGGCCUACUGGGCUUUAACUGACGCUGAAGCACGAAAGCGUGGGUAGCAAACAGGAUUAGAUACCCCCGUAAG
rnacentral:rRNA from 1 species